rnacentral:rRNA from 1 species
AUGGAGAAAUUUAAAGGGGUGGCAAAAGAGUUGAAAGGGCCUGAGUAUGAUGUGACAACAGAUCCUCUUGACCACGCGUUGGUCAUGAUCUCUGGAGAAGGCAGGAAACAUGGCAAGGAAGCAAUUGCAGGAGGCAUGUUCCCUAGUUCCUCCCGUAGCUCUCUCCCUAAAUACAAAGCUCGGUUAGAUGCGAUUGCCAUGCCAUAUUUUUGUAGGCCCGACUGGCGGAGGAGAGGCGAGUGGCAGCGGAGGAGAGGCGACUGGCUGAUGAGAGGACGCAGCAAGCGGUGCAGCAGGCGGUGCAGCAGGCGGUGUUGGCACAAACUAGUCAAUGCUUUGCAAUGUUUGCGGCUUAUUGUACCCAGAAUGGUAUGCCCGUUAUGCAGAUUCCUCAUCAAUCAGGCCAUGGAUCUAAUACUGAUGGAUCUUCACAUGCACGAGGCCCAAGCGACAACAACCUUGGUGGUUCUCCGAAUGUUUGAGAUCGAGUAUGGUUGCCACCUGGAUGCUCUUUGA